CAGAGGGGCCUGGCUGGGGACUGUAAAGAAAGGGCAGUUGCAAGCAGACGGAGAAUAAAAACCAAAAUGGAUUUAUCCUCUUUAAGUAGACUACACAGCCAGCACUUGGGAGCGGACAUGGGACAUCACGGCUACAAAAAAAGCACUUUGACCAUGAACCAAACAAUAAGCUGUAGAUGUCCUCAAAAUAUAAAGAUGCCUUGGUCUUCAAGAUUUCCCACCACACUGGAUUCUCCGGCAGAGGAAUAUAAGGGAAGCACACGGUACUUCCCCAGGCUGGGUUCUCCGGCGACGUGAAAACCAGCAAGUGCAGUGUGCCGCUCUUGUUGCCAUGCCUGCCAGGAAGCUGAAACAGAACUGAGCCGGAAUUCUGGGAGUCAAAAACCCGACUCUUACUGUUCUUUAUUUCCGCCUUUAUCUCCCAUUCCCAUCGGCCAUUACAAGCUGCCUCCUUCUUUCAUCGUUUUCAAGGAUAUUGAAUCCUCUGGGUCAGGCACACCGGAACCUUUUGGAGGGCAGAUGAGCCACCUUGCAAAGACUCUGGGAGAGCACCAAGCAGAAAAAGGUAUCGUCUCUUUCUGAGUUCUACUGACUCAGACAAUACCAGGAAAGAGGAGGCUGAGACACACAGAGGAAAAUGACACCGUGAGCUCCAGAAAGGGACCAUGGCUCCUCUCUAGGCCACCCUCUGAGGUUUUUCGCUGCAUGUCUGUCUGUCUGUGAACCUCAUGCAUGCAGUAUCCAUGGAAGCCAAUACAACCAUGUGGAUUCAGGAGGUGCUCUUGCCUGCUAAGCCUUCUCUCCAGAAUGUUGCACAAUAAACAAAAGACCCAGAGACUGAUGCUGUGGUUCAAGCUGAAGAACAGAAAAGCAAAGUAGCUGGCCACUAGCUCUUACUUCAAGCUCAGGCUGAAAGGGCUGAUCCACACACGAGCUCUUCACCAAGCCUCAGACUGCUGCCUCUCCCCAGUGUGGCUGGAGAAUCCUGAGAUUUCAAUGUCUGCCUAUUCUCCUUGAUACUAAGCCUUCUCAUCUUGAGUUGAAAGACCUAGGCAUCAAAGCGCCGGGCACUGAACCGAACCCUCUGCCCAAGAACCGGGGCCAGACCACUGGCUUCAAAUGCAAGAGGUGAUUUAUUGAGUACAC